rnacentral:rRNA from 1 species
AUUGAACGCUGGCGGCAUGCCUUACACAUGCAAGUCGAACGGCAGCAUAGGAGCUUGCUCCUGAUGGCGAGUGGCGAACGGGUGAGUAAUAUAUCGGAACGUGCCCUAGAGUGGGGGAUAACUAGUCGAAAGACUAGCUAAUACCGCAUACGAUCUACGGAUGAAAGUGGGGGAUCGCAAGACCUCAUGCUCCUGGAGCGGCCGAUACCUGAUUAGCUAGUUGGUGGGGUAAAAGCCUACCAAGGCGACGAUCAGUAGCUGGUCUGAGAGGACGACCAGCCACACUGGGACUGAGACACGGCCCAGACUCCUACGGGAGGCAGCAGUGGGGAAUUUUGGACAAUGGGGGCAACCCUGAUCCAGCAAUGCCGCGUGAGUGAAGAAGGCCUUCGGGUUGUAAAGCUCUUUUGUCAGGGAAGAAACGGUAGUAGCUAAUAUCUAUUACUAAUGACGGUACCUGAAGAAUAAGCACCGGCUAACUACGUGCCAGCCGCCGCCGUAACAC